rnacentral:tRNA from 1 species
UUUCUGUAGUGUAGUGGUGAUCACGUUUGCAUUACACGCAAAAGGUCUAUUGUUCGACACCAGACAGAAACA